AUUGAACGCUGGCGGCAUGCCUUACACAUGCAAGUCGAACGGCAGCACGGGUGCUUGCACCUGGUGGCGAGUGGCGAACGGGUGAGUAAUAUAUCGGAACGUACCUUAUUGUGGGGGAUAACGCAGCGAAAGCUGUGCUAAUACCGCAUAAUCCCUAAGGGGGAAAGCGGGGGACCGUAAGGCCUCGCGCAGUGAGAGUGGCAGAUACCUGAUUAGCUAGUUGGUGAGGUAAAGGCUCACCAAGGCAACGAUCAGUAGCUAGUCUGAGAGGACGAUCAGCCACACUGGGACUGAGACACGGCCCAGGCUCCUACGGGAGGCAGCAGUGGGGAAUUUUGGACAAUGGGGGCAACCCUGAUCCAGCAAUGCCGCGUGAGUGAAGAAGGCCUUCGGGUUGUAAAGCUCUUUUGUCAGGGAAGAAACAGCAGCUCUAACACAGUUUGCGAAUGACGGUACCUGAAGAAUAAGCACCGGCCAACUACGUGCCAGCCGCCGCAGUAA
rnacentral:rRNA from 1 species